rnacentral:sRNA from 1 species
GCCGGGCGUGGUGGCGGGCGCCUGUAGUCCCAGCUACUCGGGAGGCUGAGGCAGGAGAAUGGCGUGAACUCAGGAGGCGGAGCUUGCAGUGAGCUGAGAUCCGGCCACUGCACUCCAGCCUGGGUGACAAAGCGAGACUCUGCCUCAA